rnacentral:rRNA from 1 species
UACGGAGGGUGCAAGCGUUAUCCGGAUUCACUGGGUUUAAAGGGUGCGUAGGUGGGCUAGUAAGUCAGUGGUGAAAUCUCCGGGCUUAACCCGGAAACUGCCAUUGAUACUAUUAGUCUUGAAUACCAUGGAGGUGAGCGGAAUAUGUCAUGUAGCGGUGAAAUGCUUAGAUAUGACACAGAACACCGAUUGCGUAGGCAGCUCUCUAAACUGUAACUGACGCUGAGGCACGAAAGCGUGGGGAGCAAACAGG